UCGAGUUUACGGCUGUACCACGGGGCCGCCCCAUUCCCUACUCCUAAUCCUACUCCUACUCAAUACGUCUCCGUCGUAUUGUCCCUCGAACGGUAACAUUUCUCUCAAUUAUCCAGGCUUGGGUAUAAGGGGAAACUCAACCCCAUAUACGGGUGGGUUGCAUGACUAAAUUGAGAUAG
rnacentral:ribozyme from 1 species